rnacentral:tRNA from 1 species
GGAGUUGUAGCUCAGUGGGAGAGCACUUGCUUGACGUGCAAGGGGUCGACAGUUCAAUCCUGUCCAACUUCACCA